GACCUAAAUAUUGAAACUCAAAUAUUAGACUGCCAAUAAAACCAUACAGAAGACACUAUAUAUCCACCAAUUGGUCACUAAUGUAAAAUUAAUGAUAGAAAAUCUCAAGAAGUGAUGAUGAUAAUUGUACGAGUUUUUAAUAUCCACAAUCAGUUUUCAAAC